UACGAAGGGUGCAAGCGUUACUCGGAAUUACUGGGCGUAAAGGGUGCGUAGGUGGUUGUUUAAGUCUGUUGUGAAAGCCCCGGGCUCAACCUGGGAAUGGCAAUGGAUACUGGACAGCUAGAGUGCGGUAGAGGGUAGUGGAAUUCCCGGUGGAGCGGUGAAAUGCGUAGAGAUCGGAAAAGAACACCAACGGCGGAAAGCACUCUGCUGGGCCGACACAUGACACUGGAGAGACGGAAAGCUAGGGGAGCGAAUGGG
rnacentral:rRNA from 1 species